rnacentral:rRNA from 1 species
CAGUCGCCACGGUAAUACGUAGGGUGCGAGCGUUAAUCGGAAUUACUGGGCGUAAAGCGUGCGCAGGCGGUUCGUUAAGACAGAUGUGAAAUCCCCGGGCUUAACCUGGGAACUGCAUUUGUGACUGGCGAGCUAGAGUAUGGCAGAGGGGGGUAGAACUCCACGUGUAGCAGUGAAAUGCGUAGAGAUGUGGAGGAAUACCGAUGGCGAAGGCAGCCCCCUGGGCCAAUACUGACGCUCAUGCACGAAAGCGUGGGGAGCAAACAGGAUUAGAUACCCCCGUAGUCCCUGUCUCUUAUAC